GUAGCAAAAUAAAUUGCUUUUUAAUUGAAAGCUUGUAUGAACGAUUUGACAUGAGAGAACCUGUCUUAGUUGGGAAAGUAUAAUCUUAUUUAGGAGUAAAAAAGCACCUUCAAUUUAAAAAGACGAUAAGACCCUACAAAUUUAUUUCUAUUUAUCUUUAGUAGACUCAACAAAAUUAUAAGAAAUAUGCUGGGGCGGUAAAAUUUAUAACUAUUUUAAGUGUAAGCACAUUGAGUGAAAUUUAAAACCUUAAAAGAAAGUAAUAAAAUACUUUAGGGAUAACAGCAUAAUAUACUUUAAGGAGCCCUCAUCGACAAGGUAUGGAUUAUGACCUCGGAUGUUGAAAUUGAAAUUUUCUGUACUUAGCAGGAU
rnacentral:rRNA from 1 species